AAUACAUCUCUUUCUCCGGAUUUCCCACUCUGCACUGCAGGGCUAUGAAUGCGCAGAACACUAAAUAGUAUACCAGUUGUGCGCACAGUGCAUGUGCCUGCUGUCUGCAUUUGACAAACAGAGACCAGGUCUAUCAAAUUUACGCGACUAAUUCGAUGAGAAAUUAUUUUUUUUACAUCCACAAAAGCUUUAUCGUCUGUUUUGGGUUUUAAAAGUUCAUCGGUCAUGGUCAUGGCAACUCCGAGUCCCGAGUGUGUAGGACGAGAGUUUGUCAGACAGUACUACACGCUGCUGAAUGAAGCCCCUCUUCAUUUACACAGAUUUUACAGCAAUAAUUCUUCAUUCUUACACGGUGGAGUUGAUCAUGAAGAACCAGUUAUUGGCCAGGCAGUAAGUAGAGAUAGG